rnacentral:rRNA from 1 species
GAUGAACGCUGGCGGCGUGCCUAAUACAUGCAAGUCGAGCGAACAGAUGAGGAGCUUGCUCCUCUGACGUUAGCGGCGGACGGGUGAGUAACACGUGGAUAACCUACCUAUAAGACUGGGAUAACUUCGGGAAACCGGAGCUAAUACCGGAUAAUAUAUUGAACCGCAUGGUUCAAUAGUGAAAGACGGUUUUGCUGUCACUUAUAGAUGGAUCCGCGCCGCAUUAGCUAGUUGGUAAGGUAACGGCUUACCAAGGCAACGAUGCGUAGCCGACCUGAGAGGGUGAUCGGCCACACUGGAACUGAGACACGGUCCAGACUCCUACGGGAGGCGGCAGUAGGGAAUCUUCCGCAAUGGGCGAAAGCCUGACGGAGCAACGCCGCGUGAGUGAUGAAGGUCUUCGGAUCGUAAAACUCUGUUAUUAGGGAAGAACAAAUGUGUAAGUAACUAUGCACGUCUUGACGGUACCUAAUCAGAAAGCCACGGCUAACUACGUGCCAGCAGCCGCGGUAAUACGUAGGGCGCGAGCGUUGUCCGGAAUUAUUGGGCGUAAAGGGCUUGUAGGCGGUUGGUCGCGUCUGCCGUGAAAUCCUCUGGCUUAACUGGGGGCGUGCGGUGGGUACGGGCUGACUUGAGUGCGGUAGGGGAGACUGGAACUCCUGGUGUAGCGGUGGAAUGCGCAGAUAUCAGGAAGAACACCGGUGGCGAAGGCGGGUCUCUGGGCCGUUACUGACGCUGAGGAGCGAAAGCGUGGGGAGCGAACAGGAUUAGAUACCCUGGUAGUCCACGCUGUAAACGUUGGGCACUAGGUGUGGGGGCCACCCGUGGUUUCUGCGCCGUAGCUAACGCUUUAAGUGCCCCGCCUGGGGAGUACGGCCGCAAGGCUAAAACUCAAAGGAAUUGACGGGGGCCCGCACAAGCGGCGGAGCAUGCGGAUUAAUUCGAUGCAACGCGAAGAACCUUACCAAGGCUUGACAUGCACGGCGGCACUGCAGAGAUGUGGUGGCAUUUAGUUGGUCGUGUGCAGGUGGUGCAUGGUUGUCGUCAGCUCGUGUCGUGAGAUGUUGGGUUAAGUCCCGCAACGAGCGCAACCCUUGCCCUAUGUUGCCAGCACGUGAUGGUGGGGACUCGUGGGGGACUGCCGGGGUUAACUCGGAGGAAGGUGGGGAUGACGUCAAAUCAUCAUGCCCCUUAUGUCUUGGGCUUCACGCAUGCUACAAUGGCUGGUACAGAGGAUUGCGAUACUGUGAGGUGGAGCGAAUCCCUUAAAGCCAGUCUCAGUUCGGAUUGGGGUCUGCAACUCGACCCCAUGAAGGUGGAGUCGCUAGUAAUCGCAGAUCAGCAACGCUGCGGUGAAUACAAUCUCGGGCCU